CUACGAUAUAAUUACCUCGUUCUACACAUUAGGUUCUCGACCCACUCCUUAAUAGAAUAAAGUGGUUGCCACGCCUUAGGAUCUCAUGCCCUAAUAAGUCGAGGCCACGCAUUUUUGUUUUAAACAAUGUUACCUUAGGGGCUCCUUAAUUGCCCAGUACAGAAGCUGUUGGUUGGAUACUUUUUCACAGUUGUUGCCAGUGGAGCUCAUAUGAUUUUUGUGUAUCUCCCUCUGUCUCUCUUUCUUCUCUGCUAUAUUCUCUACGGGAGGUAUCAACCUAAGGAAUGCUGCAUUGGAGUUUGGCUGUGCCAGCCAAUCAAAAUCGCUACUGACUGCUAAGGGGCGGUCCUUGGCAAAUAAAUGGGUUCACCUGGGAGCUUGUCGGCUUGGUGGUUUUAAGGUGUGUUUAGCACAGCUGUUUGGUAGCACUUAAUGUAGCGUGGUGUGUUUUUGCUCAUUCUGUCGCUUUUUCCUCAUGUUUGUAUUUCUCUUUUUACUCCUUCAGCAGCGAUGUGUGUGGACAGGUUAACCUGGACGCCCCUCUUCACACAGUGUAGUUGUUUUCUGUUAGACACGCCAGACACAAGUUGGUCGUUUGUAAACGGCAGGUGGAUUGGAAGGAGACGGAAACCUUUACAGAAAAGGAAACGGAAGGGGGCGCUCUUCCUAACGGAACAGGGAGCACUCUGGCUAACGGGUGGACGGCAACGGAGGCUGUACAGAGAGAGGGAUAACCGAAAAGGAGAAGGAUCCUAGCAGCUGUUUAAGAGAUAGGGUCGUGCGAAUCCGCACUGCAAAGAAUGACAUCUUGGCAAAGGUGAGGACCUUAACUGUAGGUCGUGUGCUAUAGUUUUUAAGACUAAAUGGUUGCAUGAAUGUUGUACGAUUAUUCAUGCUUUUCCAGUAUGUUUUUAUCCCACUUAAAUAAUUGUUCAAAAUAACAUUAAAACCAGAGACAGUGUGAACAGUCAGCUGUUGAAGUGAUGGCUAGCUGACUGGGUCAGAACAUCUGUAGCAUCAGUGUACAUCGGUCAGUACCUCAGCGCUGUGAGGAAGGACAGAUGACGACAGAAUCAUGGGAAACCACUACUCACAAAUUCCUCAAGUGCCUGAUAUUACAGCGAGCCUACACAUUAUUAAGCAAGCUGUUUUAAUGUAAUGGCUGAACUGUGCAAGUAAUAUUUCUGGUAGAUCAUUCAAUUUCCUUUAUCAAUUAAAAUGAACAGAUUUAAUAGGAUUUCCCUUGCCAAGACCUCAUUUCUUCCCAGUGCACGUUCUACACGUUUUAAGCAGAAUCUUAGGAAACACUGUUUACACACACAAACUUAUAAACAAAACUCUAAC
rnacentral:lncRNA from 1 species